UACAAUCCAGUCACCUCCCACCAAGUCCCUCC
rnacentral:piRNA from 1 species